AAUACAGCAAUGGACAAGAUGGCCAAGUCCCAAGCACUGCCGGAGUAGGAGAAACGUUCCCAUACUCUGAUUUUCUUAUUCUGAAAAUGUCUGGGGAAGAAUUGUGCCAACAGUUAAAGAUAAUACUGGGAAGCUUCCUUGUCCCGGCCCAGGCACCCGUGGAGCAUCCCCUCCAUCAACUGGAUUGCCAUCUCCUUCUGGGUGCCCAUAUUUGAAUCUUUAAUGUAGGGCUACUGCAGUGACGCUGCCAACAAAUGACUUAAGGAGUUUUUGUCAUUUAUUUGGGAUUUUCUACAUGGACAAGCAUGUCAUCUAUAAACAAAGAGUUCUCUCUCCACACACACAGUUCAGCAGAACUAAGUACAUUCACAUUGUUAUGCAACUAUCACCGCCAUCCGUGUCCAGAACCUUUUCAUCUUCUGAAGCAGAAACUCCCUACCGUGUGAGGAUACAGCAAGACUGUGGACAUCUCAAUCCAGGGAGACAGGCAUUACUAGAAGCAACUGUUCAGGCAUCUUGAUUUUGGACUUCAAGCCUCCAGAACUGUGAGAAAAUAAACAUCUCUUCUUUAAGCCAUUUAGGCUGUAGUAUAUUUUUACUGCAGCCCAGUCAGACUAAUAUAAUAUCUAACAACGUUGAACCAUUUAACCAUGAACACUCAACUUUUUCAUUCCAUUACUUGUCCUUAACUUCUAUAGAUGUUUUAUAGUUUCCAAUGCAUGUCUUUUGCAUCUCAUUAUUAGAUUCAUUUUGAAGAAUUUCAUUUUUGUGCUACUGUAAAAGCAUUUUAAAAUUUCAAUAUCUG
rnacentral:lncRNA from 10 species